rnacentral:rRNA from 1 species
GACGAACGCUGGCGGCGUGGAUUAGGCAUGCAAGUCGCGCGACGGACCUUCGGGUUACGGAGCGGCGAACGGGUGAGUAACACGUGAACAAUCUGUCCCUACAUUCCGGAUAAUUGGCCGAAAGGCCUUGUAAUACGGGCGAGGAUGGUGGUGAGGCAUCUCACUAUCAGGGAAGGUGCAACGCAAGUUGUGCCGUGCAGGGAGGGGUUCGCGGCCUAUCAGUUAGUUGGUGGGGAACGGCCUACCAAGACGACGACGGGUAGCUGGUCUGAGAGGAUGGUCAGCCACAUUGGAACUGAGACACUGUCCAGACUCCUACGGGAGGCUGCAGUCGAGAAUCUUGGGCAAUGCACGAAAGUGUGACCCAGCGACGCCGCGUGGAGGAUGAAGGCCUGG